CACAACGUGUUGGAAAAAAUGUACUCCGGGGAAGAUUGGAGACGACAUUAUUCAAGAUGGCGGUCGAAGCGAGUUUUCCAAUCUUUGUAGUCGAUGCAUUCACCGACAAACCUUUUGGCGGGAAUCCAGCUGCUGUAUGCCUCGUGGGAUCAAGGGAAUUAAGUGACAACACCAUGCAAAGGAUAGCAAAUGAAAUGAAUUUGUCUGAAACUGCUUUUAUCCUCCAAAAAACUGAGCAAGACACAUACUCAAAAGGUUCCUGUUUUGGUCUUCGUUGGUUUACCCCAGCAUGUGAAGUGCCUUUAUGUGGACAUGCAACUUUAGCCUCAGCAGCUGUUUUGUUUGACUCCAUAGGUAAUGCAAAUGCUGAAGUAACAUUUGAAACAUUAAGUGGGAAAUUAACGGCAAGACAGGAAGGUUCAUCAAUUUGUUUAAACUUUCCUUUGAACAGCUGUGAACCAUUACCUAAAGAAGAAGCAAUGAAGAGAUUAGUUAAAGCAGUUGUAGGUGACCUAAAGGUAAAAGACGUAGAAUACUCUAAGACAACCAAGAAACUUCUCUUGUGUUUGGAGCCUUCAUUGACAAGAGAAGAUUUGGAAAACCUCUCCCCAGACUUCCAGGCUAUGUUGUCCGCCCCCUUGUCUGGACUUGUCCGUGGUGUGAUUGUAACCCUGCAGGGGACUAAGGCAAAUGGGUGUGUGGAUGGUAGCGGUGAGGUGUAUGACUUUGUUUCACGUUACUUUGCUCCUUGGGUUGGAAUAUCUGAGGACCCAGUAACUGGCUCGGCACAUACAGUUCUUGCUAGUUAUUGGUCACAAAGACUGAAAAAAAACGAUUUGUAUGCUCGUCAGUGUUCAUCGCGUGGUGGAGAACUGAGAAUUGAUGUCAGGGAAGACAACAGAGUUGACAUUGCUGGACAAGCAGUCUUAGUUCUUCAAGGAAGCAUACGCUUAUGACAGGUGUCAUGCAACCCCAACCUUUUCGAUAAAUAACAUAGCAAAGCAAAAGAAUUGCAGUUACAGAGAACACUCGCAAUAUGACAUACACCAAUACAGAAAUAUUCAACCUUGUAUUACAAGGACAAAACCAGGAUUGUAUAGUUAAGGAACACAUUUCUACUUUAAGUUUUGUUUCAUCAAAUAAAAUUCACAUUACAUCCUAUAACUAAAGAUCUUCAAGAGAAUACAUUCACUACAACCUUCCCACACCCUAGGUGUUGUUUCUCAGGGAAACACUUUCUGUAAACAUAAUUUCUUCAAAAGUUAAAACUUGUAUUGUCAUAGAAGUUUCUGAAACAUGCACUUGUUAAGCAUAAUUAAUACCUUUCAUUUAACCAGCAAACAGUCUUUCAGCCAUAAAUGAUACGCUAGAGAUUAUCUGAGGUACCGUCAAUGCCCAAACAAAUGCAUAAGACAACUAUGACACACAAACUUCCUUAAAAAAGAUUUUCAACAUCUUUUUAAAUUUAUUUCUUAUUUAGAGAAACGUGGUCAGAUAAUAGUUAAUUAUUACCAAGAAAGAGAAGAGAUUUAGUUUGUUGUUUCAGUUAGUCAUGCUGGAAGUUAGAGAUUGCUGAGAAAGACCUUAUCAGUGUUUAAAAGCUGUUGAAGUUCUAAUAACAGAAAUGAGUUGUUAAAUUGAUGUAACUGGCCCAAAGGAACAAUUUGUUGAGACAACAACAACAAAUGAAAUUUAAAACCGAGUUUCUCACCUUUCUUUUCUUUAGACGACAUAAAUAACAACACCAUAUCGAAUCGUUCAACAUGACUAAGCUCUCCCAGAAUGUGGCAAGCAAGUUUUUCUUCUCCUGUUACAAUAACAAAGUGAUCAUAGGAUAAGAUUAUGACUCCACUCCGACUAAGGUUUCAAUCCUCAAUUGUUCUUGAAUUAAAAAGCUAAAGUU